AGGGAUGUGGCACAGUGGUAGAGUGCUUGCCUAGUAGGCAUGAGGCCCUGGGUUCAACUUCUAGAAAUUCUA
rnacentral:tRNA from 1 species